CGACUUUGUGAAAUAAACUACACAUAUAUAUAUUAAACAAACACUACAACUUUAGGACAAAAUUAUAGAAACAAAAAAGGUCGUAGAUUGAUAAAAAGAUUGGAAAAUAGUUUUAUUAUAAGAUUAAAACAGCUAAAUAUAAUAAUGUUACGUAUCAGAACUUGGUGCGGGUGCAACCUUUGUUCUGACACAUUCACAAAAACAAAGUAAAAAUAAUAUGAACGAGACAAGUCCCCAUCCUAGAAAUAUACAGAUUAUACCCAAAUACUCCAUAUUGUCUUUUCUUCUUCUUACGAAAGUUCCUACACAAACACGAAAGAAGGUUAGGUUAUUAUACAGUGAUCUUUAUAAUAGGUGUGUAUAUAUAUAAGUCAUAUAAUUGCCUUAUCUCUACAACUUGGGAAUCUAGGUUAACAUAUGUAAUAUAUAUGCAUAAGAAAAAGAAAUGAAAGGUUAACAUAAUACAAUAAGAUGCAAAAUAUAAGCGUCAGAGAAGAAAAGGUUUUUUUCCAUUUUUUAUAGAAAUUUUUGUACAUACAAACGAGACUAUUUUUUUUAGGGUAUUUGAAGUAAUCUAAAUAAUCAACUGGUAUUUCUUAUAAUUAUUUAAAAUUUAUUAAAAUUUGAAGCUGAACGAAUAAUUAAUUUAUUAAAUAAAUAAUUAGAAAAGAAUGUGAAAUGGAGCAAUUGAAAAAAAAAAUUAAAAUGUUUAAGGAAAUAUAAAAGAAACAAAAAAAAAAUCAGCUAAUGAUAUGAGGCUUAGAUUUUGGUUUAACCAAACGGAAUCAUUUGGUUAGUUAGGUUUAACCCAAAUAACCGAAUAAUAGAACAGUUUAGGUGAACCGAACAAAAUUUAAAAUGUCGUUGAUCGGUUUAAUUAAGAGAACCGAUUCUGAACCAAAAAUAAUAAAAAAAUCUCAGUUUUGAGUUUUGAUUCAGUUUUGUUCACUCAGUAUGGUUAAAUGUCCCAGGCCUAAAUGAUAUAUAAUAUAUAUGAUUGAUUUAGUAAUUAAGAAACUCCUAAAACAGAGAAGAAGAGAAACAAAAGAUAUGUCAAAAUCUUCUUUAGACAACAAAAAGAAAAAAAACUCAAAGGUCUAAAUAAAAAUGAUUCCCAAUUAACUCCUCAAAGUCUUAUGUGAUCAAGAUGAAAUUCUAAGAAAAUUAAUUUAUUUGCAUUUAAUAAAAAAGGAAAAUGAAAAUGAAUGAAGAGUGAAGUCAACAAAGAAGAGCCCCUCGGGCGCAAUGCAUGCCGUCUUGUUUUGAUAAUUGCCGGCAAUUUCAAUCUCUACCAUUCCUUCUCUUAUUGUCUCCUCUCCUCCCAAUAAUUCAUGCAUCUGCCUAAAUUAUCUAAUCAAUUUUUUUCUUUUCUUUCUCAUUGGUAUUGUAAUAACAAAACUACAAUGGGAUGAUUCACAUUCAGAUAAAUUAAACCACUCUUUGUAUGUUUUAGUAUAAUCCUAUUUGUAUUAGAAAAAAAAAAAAUCAUUUCGAAGUUUAUGAUAUACUCUCUCGAUUUCAAAUUAGUUGUCAUUUUUUACCGAUUUUUUCAAAUUAGUUAUCGUUGUCGGUAAGUCCGAUAACAGAGCAAUUAGCAACUGUUAGUAUGUUAACAACAUGUUUUAUGAAUGGUUUGCAUUUUUAAUCUCUUUAUGAAGUAUGUACAGCUUUAUUUCAUGUUUUAAUCUGCAAGUCAAUGUGUAUGUAUGGUUUAAAUGGUUUUCGUGAAAGUUUAUGGUUUAAUUGACGUAAAUGAUUGUGUUCAUGAAUUUAAUGACAUUUUCCCUAUUAAAUUUUGAUGUUAACUUUCUAUUAAAUAUUUCCAUUUUUUUUUGUUAAAUUCUCAAGAAAUUUCUAGUAUGUUGCAUACUUUCCAUUUUAUCUACAUAUUUGUUAUAUCACGUUUCAACACCUGAAUAUUUGUCAAUAUUGGGGUUUUUUAAAUAAACUUACAAGAUGCAUUCAUUAUUUGUAUAUAUAUGUAGCGUGAACGCUCGAAACAAGGGAAGCUACGUAAUUGCUACGACACUAUAACUUUUUAUACUAGUUUUAAAUGAACUAGGAUGACAUAUGUUAUAAAUUUGCCAAUUUGAUUUGACGUUGAACCAACCAAUCUCAUAAGAAAAAAACAACUAUACAUUAAAUACAAAUAUAUAAUGUAUAGUCUUCUUAUUCACAUUACAAAACUAACUCAAAUAUGUAUAUAUUAUAAUUUAGAUUACCAAAAAACAAAAAAGUAGGAUUAAGAAGAAACAAAAGUUGUAAGUGUGAACAACAAUUAUAAUGGGUGUGUUUACAAUAUAAUCUGAACAACAAUUAUUAAAACUCGAUCAAACUAUGACUUUUUCCCUUUGACAAAUUUACAUAUUGACCUUUAGAUGAAAUAAAAACUUGAUUUUAUGAGAUUAAUAUAGAUUUCGGUUCGUGGUUAGAAGGAAAAAAGUUAUUUUAAGAGAUUAAUAUAGAUUUCGAUAUGAAAUAAAAAAUAUAUUUUAAGAGAUUAGUAUAGAUAUUCAUAUAUGACUUUUUUUGUAAAACCUAAAAAAAAAAACUUGAUUUUAGAAGAUUAGUAUAAAUUUUGGUGUGUAAUUUUGCCGGUUAGCUAGCUAGAGAACACAAAUCCAAACUAGAUUAUAAAAUGUAUGAAAAUUUUAUUUUUAUUUUUUAACAAAAUAAAAGUUACAUAUUGAAGGUAGUAGUAAUUAAAAGAGAGAAAUAAAUAAUUAAAAAAAUGCCUGGCCUUCCCAUGUACGCCGACGACGACAACGACUCAUCAAGACAACUCUUUAUUUUUCCCGGCGAAACAACGAAGUAACCUCUAAUGCAUCUCCUCGUAUAUAUGUACUAGUGGUCUCUUUGUGAUUGUGUAAGUACAUGUAAGUGAUCUUUCAUGUCUUUUGAUCUUCAUCUUCAUCAUCUUCUUGAAUCUUGAGAUCUUCUUGAAUCUUUGAGAUUUGUAUCUUUGUGAGUCUUCUUUGAGAGAAAGAGAGAGAGGAAGAGGAUGAUGAAGAACUUUGAAACUCAAACUCUUGUCUUCAUUUGGAGUUUUUGUUUUAUAGAGUACAAUAUUGUCACACGUAUGAUCUCACUAAAUAGAGGUUUAGUC
rnacentral:lncRNA from 1 species